GCCUGGGUGGCUUAGUCGGUUUGGCGUCUGACUUCGGCUCAGGUCAUGAUCUCGCGGUCCGUGAGUUCGAGCCCCACAUCGGGCU
rnacentral:tRNA from 1 species